AGAUGUUGGGUUAGUCCCGCACGAGCGCAAUCCUUGUCCUUAGUUGCCAGCAUUCAGUUGGGCACUCUAAGGAGACUGCCGGUGUUAAACCGGAGGAAGGUGGGGAUGACGUCAAGUCCUCAUGGCCCUUAUGUCCAGGGCUACACACGUGCUACAAUGGCCGGUACAAAGGGUAGCGAGACCGCAAGGUUGAGCGAAUCCCAAAAGGCUGGUCUCAGUUCGGAUUGGAGUCUGCAACUCGACUCCAUGAAGUUGGAAUCGCUAGUAAUCGCGGAUCAGCAUGCCGCGGUGAAUACGUUCCCGGGCCUU
rnacentral:rRNA from 1 species